AACGCACAUUGCGCCUCUCUCACGGGAGGCAUGCCUGUCUGAGCGUCAUUUAAACCAUAAACCCGUGAGGGUUUGUAUUGGACCUCGCCCUCGGGCGUCGUCUCGAAGUCAUCGGUCUAUACGAGCGGACGAGAUCCCCUGGGACUUAACCGAGCGUCUGACCUUAAACCUCUGACUUGACCUCAGAUCAGGUAGGACUACCGCCUGAACUUAA
rnacentral:misc_RNA from 1 species